CAACUUUUAACAAUCAGUUGAAUCUCUUUUCUUUAAGAUUCUUUUUUGGGGCUUUUCCCUUUUAUUCCCUUUUAUUCUAGCGUCAGUGGACAGACGUGAGAUGGGGGGGAUGACACACAGCAAAGGGCCGCAGGUCGGAUUCGAACCCGGGCCGCUGCAGGACUCAAGCCAACGUGGUUGUCAAACGGGCGAUUCUAGGAUCAGCCCUUUAUGGGGCCUCAGCCCCUAAUGAGAAUGUGAUACACCUAUAGUGCAUGCAGAAGUGCACUGCUAAAUCACUAAUGUCAUUAGCCAAUAAUCUCUAAACUAGCUACUGAACAAGAUAAUGUUUUUUGACACUAUGAACUGAACCUGACACUUUAUAAGUCACAGUCACAACGACCUAUUUGACACAAUGUUGUAACAUUCAGCAAUUUUAGUGACUUACAUUUCAAUUUGGGUUCUAAUCUGCGUCAUGAAACUUCUUCUCUGGGGGCUACCGUCAUUAAACUUCACAACCACACUCUCCCUCCGACAGAUUAGAAAGAGACUCGGCCAAAGGCGGGAGUGUGGCACAACCUCAUCCGAUUGGCCAACACUACAUUUCUGUUAACCCUUUCCUUGAUUGGGCUACAGGUGCAUGGCACCGCCGACAGACACACAUUAUAUUAAAACCUGUUUCAAGCCCUUUGGACCUGUAAUUGUUUGUCUUCUGUCACUAACAGAAAAGCUUGCAAACUCUCACUUGAAGCACCAAAAUUGAUUUAAAGGAAAAAAAAAAAAAAUAAUAAUAUUGUAUGACGUUACUAUGUAAGUUGAAUAUACAGGAUAUUUUGGGUUUUAGACUCUUGGUUGGAUGAAACACUGAAUUUCAAGACCUCAAAAUGGGCUCUAUGGGCAUAAUGUCAUUUUUCACAGUUUUGUGAUCAUACAGACAUAACAAUACACCAAUAAUGAAAGUAAAGUUUGACUCUCUGUCGUAAGCACUGCACCACAAAGCUUCUUAAACGCUGUAUUUAUGCUGGUUAAUUUCACUGUGCUACUUGUGGUGUGACCAGUCCUCAAAAAAACUGAAAAAGAUGGUUACGUUAAACGUAUUAAACUGGUUAAUUAUGAUGUAAUACAAUGUUUUUUUCUGAGUUGUACAAAGAUGUAAGAGUUGUUCCAAUUUUUGAGAAUUCCUUGACGCUUCUUCAAGUUUGCGACUUUUGUUUUCCUACCUGAGCAGACAUUUGGGUCUUUUGUGUUUGGAGUGUAAAGAUAGGCCCUUUUCUAGAGAGUUAGAAAAUAUGACCCUAUGUACAGAGAUACAGGGAUUCAAAUUAGCAGGAGUGUAUUAAUCAAAUAAAAAAGGGGGUCUGGAUUGAAGAAAAAGACAGUUUCAGAUAGCUGUAUGAUCAGGACUUUGGCUGUUUUUAUCGACUGUAAGCAAGGUACUUAACUGUCCCCGCACAUCUUGUUGCGCGUUUCGUAAGCGUGUCCGUCAACAUUUGGCUGAAGGAACAAACCGUUCUGUGUCUCUCUGGUUUAAAUUUUUUGAGAAACUGGUUCUGCCUUGAGUGCUACUGAUAAUUGUCCCCUUCCUCCUCUGCUUGGUUUGUCUUUUUUAAUAAGCUCUGUGUGCGUACAUGUGUGUUCACCGAAAGACGAACUGCGCAGCAGGACGCCCAGAUACUGCCCAAUGUAUUAUUUCCUCAGUGGGUGUGUGUCAGUCUAUGGGUCCUAUCAGUUCUCAGCAGACGGGAGGCAUCCACAGGGGGAUGGAGGGAGGGAGGGAAGGAGGCCCUCCUCUGGUCCUUUUGAAGAGGGAAGAUGGGCCUUGCGGGGACUGGACAGCUGCCUUUUCCUGUCCUGUCCUGUCCUGUCUUUCUCUGCCUAUUUCUUUUUUUUUUUUUUUUUUCUCUGCUGCUUUCUGUCUUUCUCUCACCCUCUUUCAUUCUCUCUCACUCUAAUGUUCCUUUUCAUUCCCUCUUCCUCCCUCCUACCAUCCAGAUUCUGUCCCCAGACGCUUGGCCAUCUUUUUGUACUGAAAGUCCAUGGCAACAAAAUUUUCCGGAAACUUGGUACUAGUCCAAACUUAUGUUCUUCCACUCUUCACACUGAUUGGAUUAGGAGCUGUGCAGCCAGUAAAUGGUGUAGUGGGGAUGACGAGUAUAUCCUGACAAGCAUUCACUUUUCUCCCGUCCGCUUCCAUUAGGCCUAGUUUUCCGGGACUUGCUUGUUUAAUCUUAAUGAAUUGGAGUUGUAAAGUUGUCUCGACACUUAUCUGAAGGGGGAAUUUUGAUUUGAUGAGAUUUACUAAAAAUGCUGCUUCCAAUGUUGGUGCAUAGGCAGGGUAUAAACGCUACAGAGCACACGAUUGGUUACAGUUGUGAAAGUUUACGUAAAAUGUCACAGCAGUGGUUAAUUGUGUUGAUUUUAAAGCCGCUGGUGGAUUGUUUUUCCUUCAGAACAAUGAUUGAGUAUUACAACAUUGGCUCUCAACCACUGGCUCUGUCAUUUUGAUGUGCUAACUACUGAAUGAGUUUUUUUUAUCUUUUUUGGUUGUAUUUUACAACAUGUGUUCUGGUAUUGUGUGUGAGUUGGUGUGACUGUGUAUGAAUUGGAGAACCAAAGGGUUAUGUAGAAUUUCUAAGCAGGGUGUGUAUCCAGCUGCCAGGUGUCAGUUUGUAUUUUUCAGCACUUUUUUCAAGACAGGCUCAAAUGUUGUCGUUACCCAAAUGGUCGCAGCGUUUAUUUAUUGGGGAAACAUUGUUGAUGUAAAGGUACUUUCUCAUCGCCUCUGAAUGUGUCUCACUUUGUACCUUAAUGGGCCUAGUUAAAGAUUAUACUCAACACUGGAAACCAUCAAUGUUUUUCCCUCCCUAUUGUACACAAGAAUAUCAAAUCCUGUAUUUUACGAUUGUGUCAGUUUCUAGAAAUGCAAUCAAGCUCUGCAGAGAUAGGAAUCUGUACUGAAUCACUCCACAGUUUGAGAAAUUGAAUUUCAUAUCUCAUUUAUUACUUGACUUCUUUUUUCUUUCUUUUUUAAUAAGUGCAAAUUCUAUUUUUCUCUGUGGCACGAUACCAUGAACUGAUUUGCUGUAUUUAUUACUGUUAUUUUCUGGGGGUUUAUAUUGAUCGAUUUUUAGGCUUUUGGCAUGUAAUAAAUCACCACAUUUCAAAUCA